rnacentral:rRNA from 1 species
GACGAACGCUGGCGGCGUGCUUAACACAUGCAAGUCGAACGGAAAGGCCUCUUUCGGGGGGUACUCGAGUGGCGAACGGGUGAGUAACACGUGAGUAACCUGCCCUUGACUUUGGGAUAACUUCAGGAAACUGGGGCUAAUACCGGAUAGGAGCUCCUGCUGCAUGGUGGGGGUUGGAAAGUUUCGGCGGUUGGGGAUGGACUCGCGGCUUAUCAGCUUGUUGGUGGGGUAGUGGCUUACCAAGGCUUUGACGGGUAGCCGGCCUGAGAGGGUGACCGGCCACAUUGGGACUGAGAUACGGCCCAGACUCCUACGGGAGGCAGCAGUGGGGAAUAUUGCACAAUGGGUGGAAGCCUGAUGCAGCAACGCCGUGUGCGGGAUGACGGCCUUCGGGUUGUAAACCGCUUUCGCUCACGACGAAGCUUUGUGUGACGGUAGUGGGUAAAGAAGCACCGGCUAACUACGU